rnacentral:lncRNA from 1 species
AAAAAUCAUUCAUAAAUUAACAUACAAAAAUGUACAAACACAUGAGUAAAUAAGAUAAUGACAAAGGACUACUUUUGUGAAAAGUGUGUGGUCUGUUUUUUUUUUUUUUUAAAACAACCUUAGAGUUCAGUGCAAAAAUGUACCCCUGGCACCUCUUAAAAACAUAAAGGGCAAGUUCAAAAAACCUAGUGAUGGAUAAAAGUGAUCUACAUGAUGCCAUCUGAAAUGGUGACUAUAAGCCAUAUUGGGAGCUCCUGUUCAGCUGUAAUAAGUGAAAGAAUCUUUGGAAAAGAUUCUAAACCAACUCAGAAUCAAAUAGUUUUUAGCCAAUAAAAUCUUCAUAUAAAUUUGUAACGGGGCAAAGGUUGGAGAAAUUGGUUCAAGGAAGUAAUUUCCAUUUUUCAUUUGUUCCCUCCUCUUUGGUCUCCUGAAGGAGGGGGUUCAUCAUUGGUUGUGUAGAAUUCUAGCAGCCAAAAUCACUAUGAGAUGGGUUUGGAUUUGACUUGGCUGGUGGCUUGCAUUUUAAAAAUGAACCUUUCUUUUACAACGUUAAGAAAACAUGCACUUGCCUGUAUGUUUUUGUUUGUUUUCUUAAGAAUCAGUCAUUCUUACUACAUUUGACUUCUGGAAUAAAUGACUAAACAGUGCAACAUUAAGAAAUUCCACCUUUACCAACAACAACAACAACAAAAAAAAAAAAAAAAACAAAAAAAAACAAAGAAAGAAAUUCGUGAUUGCAAAUAAAUACAAGUGAUUCUACUUUAUAUAAUAAAACAGAUAGUAUCUCAAUCUGCUCUUUCAACCCCUCUCACAAUAAAGUGAAAUUUUGGGGCAAGUGUGUCCCAGAUGGUAAAUAUUCUCAAAACAGAGCUUUGUAACUAAUAUAAAUCAGUUUAAAAUCCUGGCAUGUAUAUAUACAUUACCCACCAAACAGAGAAUAUUUAAAUUAAAAAACUGAAGAGCAAAUCGAUCCAAAAAUUCUUGACCAUCACAUUAAAUACAGGGCUCAUACUUUCAAUACCAAUUUGAAAAGGGUCUUUGC